GGGCCCGCACAAGCGGAGGAACAUGUGGUUUAAUUCGAUGAUACGCGAGGAACCUUACCCGGGCUCGAACGGAGCAGGAAUAUAUCAGAGAUGGUAUAGCUAUUUAUAGUCUGCUUCGAGGUGCUGCAUGGUUGUCGUCAGCUCGUGCCGUGAGGUGUCGGCUUAAGUGCCAUAACGAGCGCAACCCUUGUCGUUAGUUGCCAUCAGGUAAUGCUGGGGACUCUGACGAGACUGCCACCGUAAGGUGUGAGGAAGGGGGGGAUGACGUCAAAUCAGCACGGCCCUUACGUCCGGGGCGACACACGUGUUACAAUGGGGGGUACAGAGGGUAGCUAUCAGGUGACUGAAUGCGAAUCUCAAAAACCCUUCUCAGUUCGGAUUGGAGUCUGCAACCCGACUCCAUGAAGUUGGAUUCGCUAGUAAUCGCGCAUCAGCCACGGCGCGGUGAAUACG
rnacentral:rRNA from 1 species